CUUUUGCCAGCUGCUGGACCAACUGAGCGAGGGCCCUGAGGUGUUGAUUGCUCUCUUAGGAGGGUGAAGGGCUACAUUCACCUUUUCAGUGAAGGACAUGGCCGGAGAUAUUUUCUGUGUGCUGUCACUGGAAAGCCACACCAUCAAUCAGGCUUUGCUGUGCAAGGUCUACAAAAGAAGAGCCUGGUGUGUACAGCUCCCUCUACUCUCCCACACAGAGGUUGGGUCAUGCCAGAAUGGCCAGGAAGUGUUCAGAAUUUGACCAAGCGCCGGAGUGAAGUGGCCGCUUGAUUAAAGCCCCUGAAACUGCUGUUGUUCUCUCAGCUGCCCAGUGGGAUGAAAGGACCGUGUGUCACUAUGGACACGGCGUGGCAAAGCAAGGAUCCAUAUGCCCUGCAGGAAGUGUGGUGCUUUUCGUUUUCUUUAAACUGAGAGACAAUCUCUUCCUGGCCAGCUGGCAAGCACAGGGAACUGAAUAAGGUUCAUGCCCUACAGUGACUGUAGGCAGGUGCAUCGCUUCCAGGAGGUGGCCUUGGUUCUUCCAUUGCAAGAACAAACAAUUUGAAAAUUAUCCAAAAGUUUGAUUGGUGUCUGGGAGGCAGGAAGCAUUGCCUGAGUAGCUACCUGUCUUACAGCAUGUUCUCCAGAGCUGAUGUUUGGGUCUGAUGAAGGAAGUGCCAUCUGCAUCUGAUGAGACCAACUGAGCUUUUUUGGGAACAUUUUCCAGGAAGAAUUUGUCUCUAGCGCACUGUUCAAUGAACAUACACUUGGAAAAGGAAAUGGUUUGAAACUUAUCACAAACUUUGGAAGAAAAGGUAUCUGGCCUUCAUGGAGGAACAAGAAGUGACUCAAAGACGUUGAUUGUACUGUGGUCUUAAAUCAGUUUUAUUCACUGGUUUAUCCACACCUAUUACUUACUGUGCUUAUGGUGAAAGUACAUUUUUCUCCCUUAAGUACGAGGAGGGCAUGGUGUUUCACUGCCUGCCUCAAAAUGUUAACGUUUACUUUUGCUGCCCCUGAACUUACAAUGUCAACUACCUUUGCAGCAUCUUUGCAGUGGGGAAGAAUGAAGCAACAGGAUUAAUAAUUACGAAAAGCCACACAAUAGGUAUUAUCUAUAACACCGUCUGGCUAAUGCUGUAGCAGUUGCAUGUACAAGUAGGGCUUUCAAUUUCCAGCAGUUGAGAAAACAUUUCAAAACUAAAAAAUUCCUAUGUCUGGAUCUAAAAAAGCUGAUUUUCAGACUAAUCCACAAACUCUUCUGGUGCCAGUGGGUCAGUUUGCCCCAGUAUUUAUUGCAUCUAAACUUUCAGGACACAGUGAUCAGAAUCACAAAUGGAAUGGAAGAGAAAUAAGUCAGUGCUGGGGGAAAAAGCAAGCAAGCAAAAAAUAGCUGUGGUUUGACACAGCAAAGGACACUCUUUGCUCGGGGAUAUUCAAGUUGAG
ensembl:lncRNA